rnacentral:lncRNA from 1 species
AGUCUUCUUACUCAUCAAGGAAACCCAUCUGAAAGUGACGAAGUCAUUUGUUAUCCCGAGCAGCAUUAUAGUGAACCAAGCAAGUAGUGCAUUAUUCAGGAUGAGACUGCUUAUCCCAAAGAAUAGCCAUCGAACUAUAAUAAUCUUGAACUAAUUGACCUAGAAAUUGACAAAGAUGAAGGAGUUCUUGAUCAAUUUGAUAUUGUGAACUUUGAUCAGUGACAGUGUGAGUGGUUGCCAAAAAAUCCUAAACAUCCAUAGUUAAUUGAUUUUAAGUGGGGUUGUAUUGGUGAGCCAACUCAUGAUUUUAGCAUUAUCAGCUUCCCAAUCAACAAUACAAAUGGCAUAAUCAGUAGCAGUAUUUAUUGGUUUGAUGAUACUACCCGAAUCAUAACCCCAAAGUUUGUGACCUUGCAAGAACCAUUGCAUUUAUUGUUUCCAAGAAUGAUAAUUAGUAUCAUCUAAAACAAGUUGAAUGGGAUGAACAAUAUCAUAAGAGGAAUAAGACAUUUGAGAUGGUUGUGGAAGGUGUGAAGGCUUAAAGGAGAAGAGCCGAAGCCUGUAAAAAGAAAAAAAAAAUUGCCUAGAAAGGCUUUGAUACAAAGUUGAAUAAGAAGGAAUUUG